GGCGCACGGGUGAGUAACACGUAGCUAACCUACCCUCGAGAGGGGGAUAACCACUGGAAACAGUGGCUAAUACCCUAUAAGCUCCCGAUCUGUAGAGGAUUGAGAGAAAAGCUCAGGUGCUUGGGGAUGGGGCUGCGAGCCAUCAGCUAGUUGGUGAGGUAAGAGCUUACCAAGGCGGCGACGGCUAGGGGACCUGAGAGGGUGACCCCCCACACUGGAACUGAGACACGGUCCAGACUCCUACGGGAGGCAGCAGUGAGGAAUAUUGCUCAAUGGGCGCAAGCCUGAAGCAGCGACGCCGCGUGGGUGAAGAAGGAUUUCGGUCUGUAAAGCCCUUUUCUGCGUGACGAGAGUGGACGGUAGCGCAGGAAUAAGUCUCGGCUAACUACGUGCCAGCAGCCGCGGUAAAACGUAGGAGGCAAGCGUUAUCCGGAGUUACUGGGCGUAAAGCGCGUGCAGGCGGUUCAGUAAGUUACCUAUGAAAGCUCCUGGCUAAACUGGGAGAGGUUGGGUGAUACUGCUGGACUAGAGUG
rnacentral:rRNA from 1 species